UCGAGAAUUUUUCUCAAUGGGGGAAACCCUGAAGGAGCGACGCCGCGUGGAGGAUGAAGGUCUUCGGGUUGUAAACUCCUGUCAUUUGGGAACAAGUCGCCGAACGUAACUGCUUCGGCGUUGAUAGUACCAGAAGAGGAAGAGACGGCUAACUCUGUGCCAGCAGCCGCGGUAAUACAGAGGUCUCAAGCGUUGUUCGGAUUCAUUGGGCGUAAAGGGUGCGUAGGUGGCGCCGUAAGUCAGGUGUGAAAUCUCGGGGCUUAACUCCGAAACUGCAUUUGAUACUGCGGUGCUUGAGGACUGGAGAGGAGACUGGAAUUCAUGGUGUAGCAGUGAAAUGCGUAGAGAUCAUGAGGAAGACCAGUGGCGAAGGCGGGUCUCUGGACAGUUCCUGACACUGAGGCACGAAGGCCAGGGGAGCAAACGGGAUUAGAUACCCCUGUAGUCC
rnacentral:rRNA from 1 species